CAUUAGCGAGAAACAAGAACGAUAACCUGUCUGUCACAUUCACAAACACGACCAGGCUAGGGGGCAGGAGUGUCUCUAUUAAAAGAUGAGGGUAUUUGAUUAGAGUUUUGUUAUUGUUAUUUUGUUAUCUGACCAUGUCAUAGAUACAUUCAUUGUGUUGUUCGUCAUCUACUACAUAGCUUUGAUCAUUUAGGCCUAGGCUACUCGGAGUGCAACACACAAUUUGUGCGCUGUGACGUCAAGCGAAGUUGAGUUGGGCAGUUAGGGGCUACGUUAGGCCAAUCUAUAUGCUCUCAGUUGUACGGUAUCCAUAUUCUGAUAUACUCACUGACACAACUUCCAUGGAUGUGUGACGCUGUCUUAAUAUGGACACCGUGCAGAGUUGAACUGGUGACUGUGGAGACAUCUAGUGUGGAAUUGAAUAAGAAAUGGACUAAGAAGUGAGGCAAGUUACGCAAUCUAACUCUCUCCCCAAUAAUUAUUCACAGGCUAAUUAUCCAAAAUGUCUGACAGUCCCUCUCAGUAGAGGAAGUCCCUUCCUCUGCCAACGCUGUGUCUCGAAAUCUCAGAGCAGAACUAAAUGCUAAACGCCCACUUUUAUGGAGAAGAGGAUGGAUGGAGGAGAUGAUGGGAGUUCUGGGUUUCUCUCUGCCACCAGCCUCAGUCAUCCACACAGCCAGAUCGCCACGACCACCUCGAGGACACGCUACUGCCCAAUCACCACUGGGCCCAGUGGGUUGGCAUGCCAACCAACACCAUACGUCUUUGUGUUACUGUUUGUUUCUGGUCGUCUGAUUCUACAACAGAGCUUGAUGCAAUUUAAAAUCAAAUUUGAUACAUUCAUAUGUACAAGAUUGGCAUAAACCCCUGUUAUAUUCUCAUUACCCCGGUUGUUGCUUUCGGGAUAGGAAUGAAAUGACAUCAACUACAUUGAGAUUGUAUUGCUUGUGUUUUGAUUAUCUACAUUAAAUAAGUGUGAAAGUAAAAACAGCCUGUGUAAAUUAAACAUGCUGAAAUAAAAUAAAAGAUGUUGUUUGCAUCUCAAAUGGCAUCCUAUUUCCUAUAUAGUGCACUACCUUUGACUAGAGACUGGGAAUAGUGUUCCAUUUGGGACGCUACUAUUGAGUCAUACAGUCUGUAUUGAUCAGGGCAAUCUGUCGCAU